UACGUAGGGUGCGAGCGUUGUCCGGAAUCAUUGGGCGUAAAGCGCGUGUAGGCGGUCCGGUAAGUCCGCUGUGAAAGUCGGGGGCUCAACCCUCGAAUGCCGGUGGAUACUGUCGGGCUAGAGUGCGGAAGAGGCGAGUGGAAUUCCUGGUGUAGCGGUGAAAUGCGCAGAUAUCAGGAGGAACACCUAUUGCGAAGGCAGCUCGCUGGGACGUUACUGACGCUGAGACGCGAAAGCGUGGGGAGCAAACAGG
rnacentral:rRNA from 1 species